GAAGAGCUAACUGGCCCCCUGCCCAAGUCUUUAUGGCCAGUUCAAGGGCCACCUACUUCAGGGAGUGCCGUGAUGGUGCUGGUGUUAUAGUGAGGAUGCAGCUGAGAUCCCACCAUGGAUCUGCCUCAUUCAAUCCUCCCAGUAAUCCUCAGUGACCAUGGCUACCAUUGCCCAUUUUGCCCACUAAGGAGACAGAGGCCCCAGAGCGUGGGGUCAUCUCACAGAGCAGUGGCAGGACCAGGAUGGAGCACACUUCCUCUGCCCCUCUUCUGGGUGCUUCCCUCCUGCCCUGAACUGGAGGGAGGUACCCCACGCGUCCAUGCUUGCAGCCACUGCAGUACAUCCGCAAGGACGCACAGGUGACCCACCUGGAACCUCAGGCCCCAGUCCCACCCGCUCACCUGCCUUUCUCCUCACUGCAGCCUCCGGCCUAGGCUCCCCAGCCCAGGCCCCUCCUCCAGGCGCGCCUGGGCCCCUCAGCCCAGGCCCUGGCCGGCUACAAGUGCAGGAAGUCAGAACUUCCCCUCACCACAAGUUCCUGUUUGGAGGAGACAGAAGCCAAAGGAAACCACCACCCCUUCAGAGCUGGAAACAGGGGAUCUCAGUCACGAAGCACCCCAUCACCAGGCUCCAGAUCUUCAGAGGCCUGCCUCCAGGAUGGGCUCCUAGCACUGCCACAGGAUGAUGCCUACUUUACAGUUGUUCAAGCUAAGCACGUGACAAGUACUCAGUGAAGGGAGACACCGGGGAUCGCUGUUAGCCCUAUCUGUACGGCAGGUUUGUGAUGACCUAGUUGGAACGUCUAGAUCCCGUGGUCCCCUGUGCGAGAUGGGGUGGGGGUGGGGGUGUCACUGGUUGCUAUGAGGAUUCCAGGAAGCCUGAGGGAUACACUGUACCCCUGGCCAGAUGUCUCCACAGCUAGCGCUGGUGAGUUCUGACUCCCACCUGCCCCUCCACCAGCUGGGCUGUUCACACCCCCACCCUCUGGGCCACCCCCUGCUGGGCCCCUCCCCAGGACCAGAGCUGCCGGGCUCAGGGCCCACCCACCAGCCCAGAUAGUGUAUUCCCCUCCGGCAAGCGCCCACUCACCGAUCCCGUGAGUCUGCAGGUGCCGCUGCACCUCUCCAGGUGUCGGGCUGGCCCCCAGGCACCUCAUCACCACCAUGAGGUCAGUGGCUUUUAUCUUCCCCCGCUGCUGCUUGUCAUACAGGGAGAAGCAUUCCUUGUACUCUGUGCACAGCCCAGAAGAGAGAGUCAGCCGCACAUACUUGCUCUCCACCCCCAUGCCCUCUCUGUCCUCCCUUUCCCUUCCCUCCCCCUUCCUUUUGCUGACUCCCUCUCCUCCUCCCUUCUUAGAGUUGCCAGAUACAGCAAAUGAAAAUACAGGGCUGCCAUAUCCUAUUGACUAGAAGCAAGUUACGGUUUCCACCGACACUCAGGGGUAGGGGAUCAUACUGGAACAUGAUUACUAGGAGAUGGGGAUCCUGAGGGCUGCACUAACAUCUAUCCAACACACCACGUGUUGCAAAGAAUCUAGGGUGACCAUGUAUGUACAUCCUGCUAGACAUGCACCAGGGGCUUUCUGCUUUCAGUGCGUCAUGUGUUGUCUGUGCUAUUCUGUGACAAUAUUUGUCGUAGCAUUGCUUGUUAUAGUAGAAGAUUGGAAACAACCUAACUAUAUAUCAAUGGAAGAUUGGCUAAAUAUAUUACAUUAUAGUCAUAGCAUGGACUAUUUUGCAGCUGUUUAAAAAAAAUGAAGCAGAAUCAUAUACACAAAUCAAAACAAUCUCCAAGAACAGAGCUAAGUAAGACUAAGGCAAAGGACAUAAUAGUCCAUCUAAUAUGCUGCCAUUUGUGUUAAAAUAAAUAACGGGGGAAAGGGAGAGAAAUACCACUUAAUGAUAUAAAUAAUUGGAAAAAUUGCCUGAAGGAAAAUGGAAGACUGAGGAAUAGGAAUGGGAGAGAAACUUUACACUGGAUAUAUUUUUUACUUAUUUUUUAACUAUGUGUAUCCUGCCUAUUCACAAAAAGAGUAAUAAGAAUUUUUUAAGGAAAAAAAAUUACAGGGCUGCCAAGUUAAACUGAACUUCUGAUAAACAGUGAAUACGUUUUUAGUAUCAGUAUAUCCUGCAUUUUGCAUGGGAUAUACUUAUACUAAAAGGUUUUUGCUGUUUAUCUGAAAUCCAGAUUUAACUGGGUGUCCGGUAUUUUAUCUGGCAACCCUAUCACCCUCCUUCUCCUGACUUCCCUUCUGUCUCCUCCCUCGCUCUCCCUUCCUGCCUCUCCCUCUUCCCUUCCUUCUCUUUUCUCUUCUCUUUUCUCCCCCUCCUUAACUGAAUAAAACCAGAGGAAAGCAAUCCUACCCUCCAGGGCCAGCCCAUGGAGACCAGGAAUCUACAGCAGGGCGUCCAGGCUCCAGGGCACCUUGGCAAAGACAGCUUAUGUGGGAAACCAGGGAAAUAAUGCCUCCGGGUUACUGAGAGGAGCAGAAAUCCCUUCUGGGAAGGCCUGGCAGAGAAUGGCUGUCCUAUGUGGCGACAGUUACUGUCACAACUGUGGGCACUGCUGUGUCCACUCUCCAGCCCGCUGCCUCCAGGCUGCCGAGCCCUCAAGCUGUCCUCUGACACAAGCCCUGGUCCUGUUCUCAAAGACUUCAAGGGGUGCUGCCGGGACGUUGUCCCAGGCUCUGACUAAAUCUGGCUUGCUGCUGUCCUCAACCCUUCCUGCCUGGGGGAGACACAAUGGCUGCCAGAGCUGAGGCUUCUCUAGACCCAGUCUCAAGGCCCAGGGGAGCCCCGCUCUCAGCCCUGAGGGCACAGUGAGGCCAGCAGGGAGCUGGGGAAGAUCCUGGGCCCCACCACUGAGAUUCCCAUUCAGGCUGGGUGGGGGCUGCCAUCAGAAUUGGUCAAAAGCUGCCCGGGGGGCUCUCCAAUCCCUGAGGCCCACAGGGUGGUGCACCCCCCAUCGGGGCCUCUCAGCAUCCAGCUCCUCUGUUCCUCAUACCACCUGGCUGGUGCCUCAGAGGCUGGGCCCUAGGCUCCCUACCUGUAAUAAUAAUAACAAAAAAAUGGCGGCUUACAGUACUGAGCACUUCACCUGGGCCCGGUUCAUCCUGCAAUGACCCUGUGAUGCACCACGUGGUACCUCUACCCUUCCCAUUGUGUAGAGGGGGCCACUGAAGGCUGGGCGGCUGAGGGCCUGGCUCCUGAAGUUCAGCUCCACCCUCGAGGCCACUCUGGAUCCCAGAUUCCCAGGCAGAGGCCACCAGAGGGCAGAAGGGGAUGAGGGGAGAGGGACGGAAGGUCCCCAGUUCAGCCCCUUCAGUUCCCCGAUUAAGGCCUCUCCUUGCAGCCUAGGAUUUCAGCAGAGCUGCUAAUAAAAGGCAGCCUCCCCGGUGGGGUUUAGAGACAAUUAGUUGCCUUUGUGCCUGUGGAGAGGUUGAAGGGGAAGGCCUAGCCCUUUCAGAACUUUCCAGAGCCUGGGCUCGGAGAGGGCCAGAACACAUAUGUGACCAGGGAGCAGAAACUGAAGUGUCCCAGGGAAGCAGCACCAGAGCCUGGCCUAAGAUCCCGCCUUUGGUUCCUGCAAAACCUAACUCCCUCCAAGAGGGCCCAGUGCCAUCACCUUAUAUGGAGGGAUAGAGCGGGGGCUGCCCUGCACGUAGGCCUUCAAACUCCCACAGCGCCCUUCCUGGGGACCUCCCACGGCCACCCCACCUUGUCUUCUGUCAGUUUGCCCUCUGAGACCUCAUCCUAUGACAGCUUUUCAGACCAGUGCUGCAAGGCAGUCAUCACAGGUCAUGGGGCCUGGAAUCAGACAGAUUCUACAGAUGGGCAAACUUUCUCUCCCACUUGGAUCAGUAACUGGGACGGUGCCCCUGACAUCAGCAGGGCUAGGGGCAAAUGGAGUCCCAUCGCCUAAUAGACUGUUUCAUAAAAUACGUUCUUUCUUCCCACCUUGACAAAUAUACCAUCGAAAGAUCUGGAAGGCCAGAUCUGAACUGGAUCUCCCGUGCUGGAACAAAACAGCAAGGCUGUUACAUUUAUUUCCCAAUAAAUGUAAUGUCGCUAAAUCUGAUAAGUGAGCUACUGUUACACUAUUUCUCACCCUUGGACAGAUUACAUUCAUGAAACUGAACCCUCUUUCAAAUCUUCAGCACUACUGAUUGCAAUAGGGCUAUUUUAAAACAUUUGCUGUAUAGAUGCAGGGAUUGGAAGGAACACUGUUUGAUGCUACAUUACUCAGUAAUGGCUCAUUUCAACAACCAGCUCAGAGUACUCCUAAAAUUAUACCACCUGGCUCAUGCUAGUUAGAGCAAGUCUGGGUGACACCGGCCCGAGGCAGGCCCAGGGUCAUGUGUAUGAUGACCUCCUCUCUGUCCCUUGCUCACAGCAGCCUAGUGAGUCAGCGUCAUUCUCCCUACUUCACAGAUGAGAACACUGAGGCUCAGGGGUGACUGGACCCCAGGUCACUGCCUCCAAAACCCCUGGCCUUUCCACUCCAGUGGGCCACAUCUGCCCAAUCUCUCAUUUAUUAAGCAUUAGUGGCCACUUUCUCGGUGUCGGGUACUGGGAUGCAAAGGGAGGAUUUCCUUCUUCCCUUCUGGGAGCUCCACAGGUCACUGAGCCUCGGAACCAGGCGUGGGUUGGUAGAGGGGGGUUCACGAGACUGACAGCUGGACCCCAGCCUUGAGUCAACAUUCAGUCUGCCCUUCAGACUUGGGCAAGAGAGGUCCCUGCUCUGGCCCUCCUCUUGGGGUGAGCAUGUCGAGCGAUCUAAGACCAGGUGCACUCCUGGAGCCUGCAACCCACCCACCCACUCUAGACCAAGCUCCGGGGACCUAGAACUCUAGAAUCCCUGCCCAAGGAACCCUAAGCACACCUCCGGCUCCUGCAGUUGCUAGCUGGGCUCUGCUGCCCACCCCCUGGCUCAGGUCCGGGCCCCUGAGUUCUAUGUAAGCCAGAUCUCCCCUCCUGGCCUUGUGGACACACCACGCUGUGCUGUGCUGUGCCAACACUGAGGCCGGCUGGGUGGCAGGCGGGCUAGGGGACUUAGGGAGUAAAUGCUCCAAAACUAGGCUGGCUGUCAGGGCACAGGUGACCUCAGAGGCCACCUUAGCCGAUCCCCGUUUCACAGAUGGGGAGACUGAGGCCCAGAGAGCAGAAGUGCCUGCCCAAGAGUGCAGACCAGGGCUCUUUUGCCUCUCAGCUCCUUUUGUUUGACUCUCAGCCAUAAGCAGUUAAUGACCGCACUCUCCACCUCCUAUCCCUCCUCCCAAAUCUAGCUAUCAGAUCCCCGGAGAAAAACCUCCAGGGCGCCCGCUCCUAUCUCCCUAACUUGUAAGUCACACCGACAAAUGUCAUAGCAACACUUCCACCUCUGAGCCCUACCCCCACCUUCUCAGCUGUGGUGUCCCCGGCAGCAGGCGGCCCCUUGCCUGUGGGUGGGCCUGGCUCUCCCACCAGCCGCUUUCCUCCCCACCGAUAAAAAAAACAAAACAAAACAAAAAAAACGGGCAGAGCAAAUUGCCUAAUGAGACCCAUAUUUUGCUGUGAGUUGCUAAUUAAAGAGCAAAGCCAACCUACCAUUAAUUUGGUCCUGGGAAAGAAACUUGGCCUGUAGCAGAGAGAGGAGAACAGUCAGGGAGGGGACUCCAGGAAAGCGCCUCCCACCCCCCAGUGCGGGGGGGGGGGCAGCCUAGCUGGAAGACACAGCCCCCUACUCACCAUCGCGGGGCCUCAGGCUGUCGCCUGUGGGCUCCCGGCUCCCACAACCGCCUGUUCUGUCCCUCUCCUCCCGGCUCCAAGUCGAAAGUCCGCCAAGCUGGGUGGAGGCCCCAGUAAUAAAUCCGCGGCUGCCAUGGAGACCAGGCCCAGUGCCCGGGUCAGAUUCCAGCUUCCCCGAGCACAGCUGAUGCCCCGCCACCGCCCGGCCAGGGCGACAGGUUUCACUUCGAGAAAAUGAGGCUGCGGAAAGAGCUCCCCCAGGACUCGUCCUGCAUCAGGACGCUGAUGCUCUGUAGCAAACGGACACGUGCCCUGGUUCCUUCCUGGGAGCCCUCCGUGGACACCGGGAAAGUGUCGGGCUCCCCAAGUUGUAGAAGCUUCAGCCCCCACACAACCAGGCCCGUGCCUGCUCACGAGACCUCCCGCAAAGCUGUGCCGUGGAGAACAGGCCAGAGGCAGGGCUGGAAGGAGCGGUGUCCUCGAGGCGAGGAAGGA